UGAGGAACAUGACCUUCGGCGGGGGAUAGCCGGCCCAACGGCCGGGUAAUACCGCGUACGACCACAUGGGGACAUCCCUGAGUGGUGAAAGCAGCAAUGCGCCGAUGGAGUGCCUCGCGGCCUAUCAGCUAGUUGGUGAGGUAACGGCUCACCAAGGCUUCGACGGGUAGCCGGCCUGAGAGGGCGACCGGCCACACUGGGACUGAGAUACCGGCCCAGACCUCCGUACGGGGAGG
rnacentral:rRNA from 1 species